rnacentral:rRNA from 1 species
UACGUAGGGGGCGAGCGUUGUCCGGAAUUAUUGGGCGUAAAGCGCGCGCAGGCGGUUUUGUAAGUCCUGUUGUAUAAACCCGGGGCUCAACCCCGGGGUGCAAGGGAAACUGCAAGACUUGAGUGCAGGAGAGGGAAGCGGAAUUCCACGUGUAGCGGUGAAAUGCGUAGAGAUGUGGAGGAACACCAGUGGCGAAGGCGGCUUUCUGGCCUGUAACUGACGCUGAGGCGCGAAAGCGUGGGGAGCAAACAGG